UCGCAGAUCGCAGUGGAGCCUCGUGCCAUCCCUCCACGGAUUUUGGAGUUGUUACAUCUAUUUUUUUGUGUGUUGUGCUCCGUGGUAGAGAAAAGUCAAAGGGAAGGGGAAGUGAGCCGAGUGAUUGCGAUUUUUGUGCGCGCUGUGAUAUUUGCCCCCGUCAUUGGGGUCUUUGAACUGCGCCAUGCGUUCGGCACCGCCGCACCCCCGCCCCACCCGCGCUGCCGCCCACAGAGCAACCGAAAGCGGUAUCGCCUCGUUUUGGGCUUCGUGCAACUCCAAAAGUGUGACGGCGUCUGUGGCCAUUAUCGCGAGGAGCGUUUCGCGUUUCGCGUUGCCCGAUAAGUGCAGUAAACCCACCCCCAUAGCCCCCGCUCGCCCGCGAGGGGCAAUCAGUUAUUGGCCCGCCGCCGCUCUAAUGAACGUUGAACUGCAAAUUGCAAAAGCGUACGAAAAUAACAAACAAACGCGAAACUCGCUCUCUCUAGCGGGACAUCCGCGUCGCUCGCACCAACACACAGGCAUGCGUAAUAAUAAGUGUAAUAAAUGGGUGCAUUCACCUCGGCACUGGAACGGGCACAUCUCUAUCUGGAUCUGGUGACUGUCUAGCGGGAGAUCACUCACUUGGAACUAUUUAACUUUGCAGAGUUUUCUGCAUUGGCAAUCCCGUUUCCCGUUCAAACUGAGAAGAUCCGCAUGCUGAGGCUGGGCAAGAUGUGCACUUCGGGGGCGAUUCAGGCAGGUAAGCUCACUCCCUAGUUCUGCAGAUAAGAUAAGACAACCUUGGUUCGCGGUUCGUUUAUCUAACUGAGACGGUACCCCUGCAUCUGAAGCCAAGGCCACGGGGUUAUCCCUCCUAUUGCGACCCGGGUACCACGUCAUCCACGACUUAUCGGCUGCCUAGGACAAAUAUUGGCCAUAGCUCAGCUAGCAGACGGGACGAGGCACAACAAUCUCCAUCAAACCAAGCUACUUGUAAACUAGAUACCAAACUUUGAUGUAGGGAAUGGAUUUCUGAUGCAUGGGCACCCCCUUACCAAUAUACCCGGAUAUAAACUUUUGGCGACAAUGUGCAAAUAAAUAAAUAAAUGUACCCGGAAUACCAGGAUGUUAUAAAGGGAUACACAAGUUCUGCAUUUUUCUAGGAAUCGGUUCCGCAUUGGCCACUCCAUUCCAUUGAUCACGUCUGGAGCGACUGCAGAUCGGAGCAGCUGGCGGAUCGGAGAUUACUCAUGCAGAGAUUGAGAAUGGAGCGGGCUUGGAGCAUCUCCGGUGCGGAAGUGGCGCCCGUCGCUCUCCGGGCCACCGAGCUCGAUUUAGUCAUGCAUCUGGCGGCGGCGGGCACGGCGAAGACUCUUUUCCGGCCUGCGGGCACGUGGGGAGAGCUCUCUGCAUUCUGCAGUCUACAUUCUCCGCGACGCUCGCCGCUCGUUGCACUUGGCCCACUGCGUUAUUGGCCAACAUUUGUUUUGGUCUCUUUGGGGUGGCAGACCACACAAUCGGCAUUCAAGUUAUGCAACACUCUCGGAAGCGAGCGCACCCAGCGACCUUUUAAGCGCGUCUGCCCCGCUCCAAGUCAACACUGCCACUCCAGAGCUGACCGCGGUAGCAGCCAAGGUUCCACGAAAAGAAUUGGGAACAGGAAUAGGAAUUGGCAUUGGAAUAGGAAUACUAAGGAUACCAGCAGCCCUCCCUCCACAACCCUCAACCCCAAUCAGAUGUGCCCGGGGUAACGGCGACAAAUUGCUUCCUGUUAUAAUCCGAGAGUCAUCUGAAGUAAAGUGCCCACCAUGACGCACUGCCUCUGGUCGACGGUGCUGGGCCUUCUGGCCCUGCUCUCCAUGGCGACCAGUCGAUCGGUGCGCCAGCUGCCAAGUGCAUACUCGCAUCCGCCCGUGCUGCCCGGCGGAUACUACGGACAGCCGCCCUACGCCUACCCCCCGCACUACGGCUACGGCUACCAGGCGCCACACCCGCCGCCACCCGUUUACAGCCCCUACUUUGACAACGUUUUCGGAGUCUACAAGAGCUACCCCGGCGGCGGAUAUCCCGUGCGGUUCGAUUAUAACAAUCGUUGCUCUCGGAACUACAUUGGCAUCAAGCCACAUCCGGAUCAGCAGCAGUACUACUAUGUCUGCAAGCCGAACUGUGUGAUUUUCAGCAAAUGUCGCGAUCUUGAGAGUUUCAAUCCGAGCAGCGGGCGCUGCGUGCAGCACAUUCCGCAGCACAGGCCGGACCACAGUCCCCCGAAUUGUCAGAAGGAGGGCCGCUUCCCACAUCCGCACGACUGCAAGGUGUACUACAGGUGCGACAAAAACCGGACGCAACCCUGGCUCUUCGCCUGCCCCGCGGGCACCAUUUUCUCGCCGGUGGAGCGAAAGUGCCUGCCCGGUGACCAGUGCCCCUCGACGGAGAUAUCGGACAGUGGCAGCUACAUCCCCCAGAACUGCGAGCUCAAGUUCCCCGAGUGUGCGGGUGAAGGCACCUUCCGCUCGCCGACGGACUGCUCCCUCUAUUACACAUGCCGACUGCAGGAUAGCGGUACCUAUCUGCAGACCCGAUUCAAGUGCCCCGGCAGCAACAGUUUUGAUCCCGAGCGUAAGCUGUGUCGUCCCCGCAACGAAGUCGACUGCUUUGACUUUGUCCCGCAACCACCAUUGCCGGUACCCUAUGCUCCACAGCCAUACUAUCCUCCCUAUCAAGCGCCACCGCUCUUCGAGGAGGACGACUACGAUACAGAUGCCAAGGAACAGCAGCCGGCUCUUAAGUCCGAAAAACUUCAGGUAGCAGGAGGCUUUGAAAGACCCUCGGUAAAUGUGGUUAUUUUGCCCACAAAGUCCACGCCAGCGACCACAACCACUUCGGAACGCACCACUGCCUAUUACAAAUACGAGAAUUAUCCUUCGUACCACUCACAUCAUCACAAAAAAGUAGAACCUUCUGCAGAAAGCCAAACGGUUGAGAAAGAGGAUGUCUUGCGCAAAUUAAAGCUGUCGGAGAAUGUUGUAAUCCUGCCCACCACACCGGCGACUACUACUACCAAUCGUGAGUCCUCAAAGGAAACCACCAAAUAUCAAUACAAGAGAUACACCUAUGCAACUGAGACUCCAAAGAUCGAACCUGCAUUAAGUGGUUUGCACCUUUCGAAAAAUAUUGUCGUUCUGCCCACUACCCACUACACGACUACGCCCAAACCAACAGUUCCGACUUGCCCCCCCUUACCAACGCCGAGUACGACAGCUAAGCCAAGUACGACUACCACUGAGAGAUCCACCACGACCCCGAAAACAUCUACGAUUAAAACAACUACUCAGAGUCCGAAAACAACGACCCAGAAAACCUCAACAGUUACCGAAAGAACUACCACGCCGACUCUGAAAACUACUAUUGUGACAACAACGACUCAGAAACGAAGCACCACCACUCACAAAUCCUCACCAGUUACUAAAACGACAAAAAAAGCAACAACCAUUACUCUUAAAACCACAACAAGUACCGACAAACCCACUACUUUGAAAACAACUACAGUGAAAACAACUACUCAAAAGCCAAUAACGACUUCGCAGAAAACAUCAACAGUUGCUUCUACCACCAAAGAAACAACAGAAAGUUCACCUAAGCCUACAGCAAGUACUGAAAAACCAACUACGACUUCUACGACCACUCAAAAACCAAAAACUACUACUUCUAAACCUACAACAACGACCCAGAAAACACCACCGACGACUCAAAAGCCAACUACUGUGACUACCUCUACCCAGAAGCCAACAACGACUACUGAGCAAACCUCAACUAGCAAGAAAACAACAACGAUUACUCCAAAGCCUACAACAACUACCCAGAAGACAACCACGAGGGAUCCAAGCACAACCAAAGUGACAUCCACUUCCCAUAAAACAACUACGACUACUGAGAAAAUCUCUACAAUAACUACGACAACCUCAAAGCCAACUACAGUGACAACCACUACCAAAACACCAAUAACGACUACUCCAAAAUCGUCAACCGUUAGUACUACCACCCAAAAAACAACAGAAAGUUCACCUAAGCCCACAACGAGUACGCCAAAACCUACCACUACCACUCGACAAACCUCUACAAUAACUACGACUACACAAAAACCGACAACUACUACUCCUAAACCUACAUCAACGACCCAGACCACAACAACGACAACUGCAAAGCCAACUACAGUGACAACUACUACUCAUAAACCAACAUCGACCACUCCGAAGUCGUCAGCCGCUACUACUACCACUCAAAAAACAACAGAAAGUUCUCCUAAACCGACAACAAGUACUGAAAAACCCACCACGACUACUCAGAAAAGCUCCACAGCAACGACAACCACUGGAAAACCGACAAUUACUACGGUUAAACCUACAAAGACUACUCCAAGACCCACUACAACGACCAAGAAAACUACAACCACGACUCUGAAGCCAACUACUGUGACAACCACUACUGAAAAACCAACAACGACUACUCAGAAAACGUCAACAGCUACUUCUACCACCGAGAAAUCAACGGAAAGUUCUCCUAAGCCCACAACAAGUACCGAAAAACCGACAACGACUACAGUACCAAAGACCACUCAAGAGCCACUAACUAAUACUCCAGAAUCGACAACAACGACGACUCCGAAGCCAACUACUGUGACAACCACUACCCGGAAAUCAACGACGACCACUCCGAAAACGUCAACAGUUACUACCACCACCACGAAAACAACAACGACUACUAUUAUAGCCUCUAGUACGACCCCUCAGAAGCCAACAACUUCUACUCCGAAACCCUCAACCACUACAGAGACAACCUCCACUCAAAAGUCAACAACAACCACUCCGAACACCUCUACAGUAACCACGACCUCACCAAAACCAAGCACAACCACACUAAAACCGACCACUACUACUGGGAAAUCAACCUCAGUUACGGCAAGAAGCACAAGUGUCCCGACCACGAGGAGUCCCACAACCAUUCCAGCGCAGAACUCCACCAGCACGACUGAGCUGACCACAGUCACGCGACCACCUUGUCCCGAUCCGGACUCCACCUCAGAUAAAAACACAAACCCCGCAUGCACACAAGAACUCCAACAAGUUAAACAACUCCAACUGCACUCACCGCAAAAACCAGAAGAACUCACCCGCAUACAAGCCAAGACAGGGUUAGGCGAAAGUAUAAAUGUUUUGGGCGGGCGGGAUGAGCUUGACUACAUGGACGAUGCACCAUCUUCCGGGGAAGGGGAAUCUGGGCAGGCGACCACGGCUAGGACUCCGACCAUGUCCACACUGGCCGCGGCCCACCUGCUGCAAAAGCUCUUCCACAUAAUCUCCACCACGCCGCCGAGCAGGGAGCACUCCUCUAGCCAACGUCCGCCCAGUCAGAAAUCUUCCGCCAGCACGCGUCCGCCCGGCGUGACUCUUUCCCAGAUGGCCAGGCACAACCUGGCGACCUCCAAGCCCUUCAUCGCCCACUCCCUGCGGCUCUCCAUCCAGCAGUUGGCAGCCCCCACCCAGAAGCGUUCCAUCCAGCCGCAGGCGCUCGGGUCCCUGAACACCACCAAGAAGGAGCCUGAGGACUCGGAGUACUAUGACAGCGAGACCUCCGAGCAGUACGCAGACGAGGACAACGAAGUGCUGACCAUAACUCAGCCAAAGGCCAUGGCCAGCACAACGGUGGCUGCCGUUCUUCCGGCUCCGUCUUCGACCACUGAGCGGGAGCGGCUUGAGACUAGUUCCUCGCCAAGUCGGACCAGGCCGGUUUCCAGUUCCACCACAGCUCCACUGCCGACGACCACUGAGCGGGAGCGUUUUGAGAUUAGUUCCUCGCCAAGUCGAACCAGGCCGGUUUCCAGUUUCACCACAAAUCCAUUGCCGACGACCCCUGAGCGGGAGCGUCUUGAGAUUAGUUCCAUGCCAAGUCGGACCAGGCCAGUGUCCAGUUCCACUACAGCUCCACUGCCGACGACCACUGAACGAGAGCGUCUUGAGAAUAGUACCUCGCCAAGUCGAACCAGGACAGUGUCCAGUUCCACUACAGCUCCACUGCCGACGACCACUGGCGACCUCGAGUACGGCGAUAGCUCUGGGGACUCGGACUAUCCCAACGACGGGAUAGAUGAUGUUCCGAAUAGCGUAGUCACGAGCCUGGAAGCCAGGAAGAGCUUCUUGCUGAGCCUGCUGAAGGAGCGGCUGACUCGAGUGGAGGACAAAAAGCCUUUGCCAACGUCCCCCACAGCUGCUCCUCGGACAAGUCCCAUGAUGAGCUCAAGUUCUAGCUCAAGUUCCAGCACAGCUUCCAGUACGAGUCCAACCACGAGGUCUGAAUCGACUACGGGUGCACCUUCACCUACAGUUGCACCCGUUCGAGCCAAGAAUUCGACUCAUUUGAGCUCGGAAUACUAUGAUGAAGAUGAGGACUAUGUGGAAGAUGAGCCCGCCCAUUCGUCAGAUGCUGAGAAGAAAGAAGGGGGCACAGGCUUAGUGGCCAAGAAGCCUCCAGUUGCCACGGGCAAGAGGCACGUUGCUCUGAUGCAGCAUAAAAUGGCAUCUCGAACUGCCAAAAACGAGGGGCAAUCGAAGGCUGCAACGGAAGGUCUGCUGCUCAAGGGACUGGCAAUCGGGGAUAGUCAGUUUCCCUCCAAAAAUCCUCUCAGCCGGGCACUGGGAAGCAAGGGUGAUAGCAACCAGGCUCUAAACGGAAAUGCUCCCAAUACAAUUGGUCAUCCGGCGAGGCUAACCAUUGAACACUCAUUAAUGCAGACAACGAUGCCAAAUAUAAUACCUACAAGCGAAACAUCCACUCCAAAACCAUCAUCCACAUCCACAGAAGCAUCAAUGACACGACCAAGUUUCAUGACCAGUCGACUGGUUAAAGCGCUAGAACAACGAAAACUAGAAGCAAUCACUCAGAGAACAUUAGAAAUAGUCACACCGACCACAUCGGAAACACUGCCCACAGCAUCGGCCGUGGUCGCAUCCGCGAUGGUGCCGUGGGCCGCCUCCACUGGACGCCGGGAUGCAGUGCUGUCGGUGAACAGCAUGCCCUGGUUGCUGGCGGCCCGCAACCAAACCGUCCACCUAACACCCCUCUCAUCCAACGCCACCACCAUUCGCGGCCGAGCGCCGAGCAACCCAGUGAGCCCCAAUAACCCCACCUCCAACCCAACAGUGUCCAGCCCCGAGGACUAUUCCACCGAGAAGGUGCCGCAGCUCAUCGUCAAGGUGUACGAGCCCAUCGACCUGAAGAUCGUCUUCUGCCCGAAGUCCUGCGACCAGGACCACGACCACAAAUACGAUUCCCUGCAAGCCUGAUUGUUCGCAGUGCUCGGAAAUGGUCGGGCCAGAGCGGAAUGAACUUGAAAUAAAAGCCAGAAACGCACUAAUGUCCUCCGACGACUGGACGGCAAAUAAAAGUUUGCCCCUACAGUGGCCCUCCUCCUCUGCGGUGGUCUCAUGUGCGCGGCGACAAAGUUUUUAUUCCUUUGUUUAGAAUGAGCACAAGUGCGCACGUGUUCCGUUCCACACCGCUUUAGUGCGGCGGGGGAGGACUGGGUGGUACGGAGGAGGAGGAAGAGGAGGAGGAUGGGAAUGGGGCUGCGAGGCCGUUAAAUUUUAAUGCGCCCGUAUCGAUAUGCGUGCAUGGACCGCCAGCGCCAGCGGAAUCUAUAAAAGCCAAGCUCGCGUGUCACCAUCACCAUCACCAUCACCAUCGCCAUCGCCACCUCCAUCCGGCGAUUCCUAUUCCCUCUAAUGCCGCCUGGCUGCCGGUGGUAGCUGCGCAGUCGUGAUAAGGCAAUUGGCAUCUGGAGGUUAGUUGCUGUUGGGCCAAGGAGGCAGGCAGCUGCACUUGCCUAUGAAUAUCCCAUGAGCUCACGCACUCCAACAUUUGCUCGUACUUUGCAUAAAUUCGCAAUGUCGCGACUUCUAAUCAAUAGCCCUAGCCGGGGGAGCCAAAAUGGAGUCGAAUUUGAAGGAAAGAAGAGCCCAGCCGUCUGCAAAACCAGAAGAUGGAUGAAAUAAGUACCGAUUUCGGAGAACUGGCAGGAAAAACAAGAGGAAAAUGAAAACACAAUAUAUCUCAUAAAUUAGCUAUUAUUUAUUUCUCUGGCUUUCCUAAU